rnacentral:rRNA from 1 species
CGGGGUGAGUAAUGUCUGGGAAACUGCCUGAUGGAGGGGGAUAACUGCUGGAAACGGUAGCUAAUACCGCAUAACGUCGCAAGACCAAAGAGGGGGGCCUUCGGGCCUCUUGCCAUCGGAUGUGCCCAGAUGGGAUUAGCUAGUAGGUGGGGUAACGGCUCACCUAGGCGACGAUCCCUAGCUGGUCUGAGAGGAUGACCAGCCACACUGGAACUGAGACACGGUCCAG